GACCGGAAGUGAGGGAACAGCCGCUGUUUCCCAUGCGGUGCUUCUCCAAUGAACACCUUCAUGUGAGCUCCGCAAGUUAGACACUUUCAAGAGGAAACGAAAACUCAGGGAUUCUAAGGUAGCUCUAUGCUACCUCCAAGAGCGUCCAGCAGGAGAAUGGGGGAGCCCUGGACAGUCCCCACCUGGCACCCUCCAGACAGAGCUUUGAAGGAAAGGCUUGAAAGCUACAAGGAAUAUGAGAUGCAAUUAGACCCGGGUUUGAAGACUCCUCUUCCAUGCAGCAUUGUGAUCUGGGGUGAAGUCCACGGGGACAGCGGGGUGCACACACAAGCAGAGGAGAUAGGUGCAGUAUACAGUCCUCAGUUUCUUGCGAUGCAUUUGCAUAUAAUGUCAGACGAUGCCACAUGAACACAGAAUUCUGAUGGACCAGAGACGUGUGGGAGUUCAGUGAGACUCAAAGCCAUUACAAGUUUCACUUAACUCACAGGGUGCCUGCACCCAGCACUUCAGACCAGAGUUCCUAAUGCAAAAUGGCUGCGCCUGACACUUAAACUCGGUAUGCUAGGUGCAGAAACGCUGUGCACAACACUUUAAGAUGGCAGUGGCCGACCAGGCGCAGACGUGCCACACCUGGCAUUUGGAUCUGGAGCCAUGAGCAGCAGCACAAGAACUCCGUUCUCCAAGAACCCUAUAAAGCAGCCCUGCCAACGGCCGUUUGGAAAAAAACAUGUACUCUUGAGCUCAAGCUUGCACUUCUCCAUUUGAUCAUCAAAGAAUAAAACUUUGCUUUGCUUCUGAAUGGAACUUGGACUCGUUUUAUUGGCUCGAAUGACACCAGGCAGGAGGACCCUGGGACCUGACUCAAAAGGAUCAACUUUUGGCAACCCAGAUGGCUUUUUCAUCUGUACCAAUCCACAUAGCUCUGGACUCAUUGGAGCUCAGGGCUCCAGUCCGUGGAUGGUAUAGGCUUUGAAGGUUCGCCUGGGAAUGACUGCCUCUGGUCUUUGAGUACACUCUGACAGGUUAGAACAGCAACAGUCUUUAGCCAAAUUCAGAACAACUCUGCCCAGCAACCUGAUACCCGGGUGUGGUUCUCAUACAGCAUAGCCCCCAGAGUCAUCUGGACUGCACUCCCUUGAGUGCAGAUCAUACUGUGGCAUCGUUGGGGAUCAGAGAUUGAAACUCAGGCAUGUCUCCCUGCUGCCUCUGGCUGGCCUUCCAGUGAUAGAAGAUACCUAGGGAUGAUGGGACGUGUGGAUGUGAGGGAGCCAUGGCAGUCUUGCUUCUGCCUCACCAGUAGUGCUGUCCUCUGUUCAAGACACUAGUUGCCAUGUCAGGGCUGUUGCCCACCUUGCAGACCUCCAGGAGCCAACAAUAGCAUUCUCCAUGGUCACUUUCAGUUUGGUAAAGGAAAGUGGCCAGACCUGUGAGCUAGGAGAUAAGACUGGGAAAAUCCCAGCUAAUUAGGACCCCCUGACAAAACAAAACAAGGACACUGACUUUGAGUUGGAAGAAAAGGCACCAGGGACGCUUGAAUGCAGAAUGUUCCCAAGUUAUCACCAGGCCAAGGUGUGAAGCCUUGUACCAAGACCACAGAAGUGGAGCCCAGAACCAGUCACCUCUGAAGCUAACUGAGUCCCUUUGUAACUGUUGCCAAAAGCCCCUGAUCAUCCCUAAUAAGCUUCCUGACUCCAAAUUAGGCAAAGGUGCCCACUCCAGUGAACAUGCUGUAGCCCCCUAACCAAUCACCUAAUGCCACGCUUCCGGGAGGAAUUUUCUUUGUCUUGAGGCUAUAAAAAUUGGCUAUUGACUCACGAAAACAGUCGACUCUCCCUGGUCUGUGAGGAGGUUGGCCCACUGUGCUCGCAGUGCCCACCUUAUCUCUACUCUUAAUAAACGCACUCCCUUCUGAAAUGCUA
ensembl:lncRNA